AACGGUCUAUACCUGCGGUACCUGCGGAAGGAUCAUUACCGAGUUUACAACUCCCAAACCCCUGUGAACAUACCACUCGUUGCCUCGGCGGAUCACCGCGCCCCGUGAAACGGGCCGGCCCGCCAGAGGACCUAAACUCAAAUGUUUUAUUGUAUCUUCUGAGUAAAAACACAAAUAAAUCAAAACUUUUAACAAUGGAUCUCU
rnacentral:misc_RNA from 1 species